CCCUAGCCCUGAUAGCAACGGAAAUCCUUUUUUGAGGUUUUUACCGAAAAAAAGAUUGUAGUGAAUAGCAGGAAAUAGC
rfam:Flavobacterium psychrophilum JIP02/86 complete genome